rnacentral:lncRNA from 1 species
CCCUUAUAUAUAAUAAACACGGAAAAAUAAUGAAUUACCUAUAAAUUUAUAUAGUAAGAUCUCUAUAUAUAUCGACAUGUGUUUAAAAGUAAAAGAAAUAAGAAAAAGGAAAAGUAAAACGCUAAAUAGAAACCCUAGCAGUUCCAUAGUCCUCCUAGCAGCAAAUCAACGACAAAGACUCAAAGCUUUGAAGAAGAAGAAGUUCCUGAACAGUUGAAUCUGGCUCCAAUGGAUAGUCUUCCUGACGAUCUUCUUGUUCAUAUCUUGUCUUUACUUCCCUCGAAAGAAGCUUCUUCAACCUCUCUUCUUUCCAAGAGAUGGAGGACUCUUUUUGCUUUAAGUCCUAAUCUUGACUUUGACAACUUCAUCCUUUUGCUUCCUAAAUAUAAUCGCACUAACAGUGAAAAGAGUUUCAAUGAUUUUGUGGAUCAUAUAUUGGCUUUGCAUGGCUGUAACAAUAUAAAGAAGGUCUCAGUUAAACUUAGAUAUACUCAUCAAGAUAAUAUACAUGACGGUGACCGCUGGAUAUGUAAUGCCCUCGAACAUGGUGUCUCCGAGCUUCAUCUACUCAUCGAAUCUCCAUGGCUGGAGUGUUCUGUCCCAUCCAAAGUCUUCACCAGCACAACAAUGGUAAAGUUGU